rnacentral:rRNA from 1 species
CGUUAGCGGCGCGCCUAACACAUGCAAGUCGAGCGAGAAGGGAGCAAUCCCAGUAAGCGGCGCACGGGUGAGUAACACGUAGGUAAUCUACCUCGAGGUGGUGGAUAACCUUCCGAAAGGAGGGCUAAUACAGCAUGAGACCACGUUUUCGAAAGAGAAUGAGGUCAAAGCGGGCCUCUCUACAGAAGCUCGCGCCACGAUAUGAGCCUGCGGCCCAUCAUGGUAGUUGGUAGGGUAACGGCCUACCAAGCCGAAGACGGGUAGCUGGUCUGAGAGGAUGAUCAGCCACACUGGAACUGAGACACGGUCCAGACUCCUACGGGAGGCAGCAGUGGGGAAUCUUGCGCAAUGGGCGAAAGCCUGACGCAGCGACGCCGCGUGAGUGAUGAAGGCCUUCGGGUUGUAAAGCUCUGUGGAGGGGGACGAAUAAGGGUUGGCUAACAUCCAGCUCGAUGACGGUACCCCUUUAGCAAGCACCGGCUAACUCUGUGCCAGCAGCCGCGGUAAUAC